rnacentral:lncRNA from 1 species
ACGAAGACAAGUGACCAACGUGGGUAUUUAAUCUCUAUUACUAUAAUUUCGUUUGUAAUAUUCAAUUUAUUUUGAAUGGAAGAGUGGUAUGUAAUUUUCGUUAUCAACUUAUAUUGGCAGGGUAUGAGAUAAGUAAGGACCGUUUUUAUGAGAUGUUAGCGGUUUUGGGUUCAGUUAACAAAGAAGGCGCAGACUACCUUUGUAA